rnacentral:rRNA from 1 species
GACGAACGCUGGCGGCGUGCUUAACACAUGCAAGUCGAACGGAAAGGCCCUGCUUUUGUGGGGUGCUCGAGUGGCGAACGGGUGAGUAACACGUGAGUAACCUGCCCUUGACUUUGGGAUAACUUCAGGAAACUGGGGCUAAUACCGGAUAGGAGCUCCUGCUGCAUGGUGGGGGUUGGAAAGUUUCGGCGGUUGGGGAUGGACGCGCGGCUUAUCAGCUUGUUGGUGGGGUAGUGGCUUACCAAGGCUUUGACGGGUAGCCGGCCUGAGAGGGUGACCGGCCACAUUGGGCCUGAGAUACGGCCCAGACUCCUACGGGAGGCAGCAGUGGGGAAUAUUGCACAAUGGGCGGAAGCCUGAUGCAGCAACGCCGCGUGCGGGAUGACGGCCUUCGGGUUGUAAACCGCUUUCGCCUGUGACGAAGCGUGAGUGACGGUAAUGGGUAAAGAAGCACCGGCUAACUACGUG